rnacentral:rRNA from 1 species
UCCAGACUCCUACGGGAGGCAGCAGUGGGGAAUAUUGGGCAAUGGGCGCAAGCCUGACCCAGCAACGCCGCGUGAAGGAAGAAGGCUUUCGGGUUGUAAACUUCUUUUGACAGGGAAGAGCAGAAGACGGUACCUGUCGAAUAAGCCACGGCUAACUACGUGCCAGCAGCCGCGGUAAUACGUAGGUGGCAAGCGUUGUCCGGGUUUACUGGGUGUAAAGGGCGUGUAGCCGGGCUGACAAGUCAGAUGUGAAAUCCGGGGGCUCAACCCCCGAACUGCAUUUGAAACUGUUGGUCUUGAGUAUCGGAGAGGCAGGCGGAAUUCCUAGUGUAGCGGUGAAAUGCGUAGAUAUUAGGAAGAACACCAGUGGCGAAGGCGGCUUUCUGGACUGAAACUGACGCUGAGGCACGAAAGCGUGGGGAGCGAACAGGAUUAGAUACCCGAGUA